AGCGAACGCUGGCGGUAUGCUUAACACAUGCAAGUCGAGCGCGAAAGUGACUUCGGUCAUAAGUAGAGCGGCGGACGGGUGAGUAACACGUGGAUAAUCUGCCUUUAGGACUGGGAUAACCCUGGGAAACUAGGGCUAAUACCGGAUAAGACCACAGGUUCCAUGGAACCAGGGGUAAAAGCGCCUUCGGGCUGUCGCCGAAAGAUGAGUCCGCGUCCCAUCAGGUAGUUGGUGAGG
rnacentral:rRNA from 1 species